UGUUUCCUUCCUGUACAGGUACAAGCACAAAUCAAAAUGAAAUUCAUCCUAGUUCUUGCUAUGCUUAUGGCUGUCGCCUAUGCCAACGAUGAUCUAACAAACCAACUGCUGGAACUACAGAAGGCCAUUGACAUCGAUCCGGAACAAGCACAUGGAUGGUUCAGUAAUGUUGUUGGUUUUGUGACGAAGAACGCUGGAGCCAUCGGAAGUAUUGCCAAAGGCGUCAUGGCAAUCGCAGGCUGAAAAACGAAUCUAACGGAUCAACAUGGACAUUCAUUAGGCAACGUACGUGUUUAAAGUUCCUGAAAAUAAAUUGGAUUUAUUGAAAACAGAAAAAA